UUCAGCGGCGGACGGGUGAGUAAUGCCUAGGAAUCUGCCUGGUAGUGGGGGACAACGUUUCGAAAGGAACGCUAAUACCGCAUACGUCCUACGGGAGAAAGCAGGGGACCUUCGGGCCUUGCGCUAUCAGAUGAGCCUAGGUCGGAUUAGCUAGUUGGUGGGGUAAUGGCUCACCAAGGCGACGAUCCGUAACUGGUCUGAGAGGAUGAUCAGUCACACUGGAACUGAGACACGGUCCAGACUCCUACGGGAGGCAGCAGUGGGGAAUAUUGGACAAUGGGCGAAAGCCUGAUCCAGCCAUGCCGCGUGUGUGAAGAAGGUCUUCGGAUUGUAAAGCACUUUAAGUUGGGAGGAAGGGCAGUAAGCUAAUACCUUGCUGUUUUGACGUUACCGACAGAAUAAGCACCGGCUAACUCUGUGCCAGCAGCCGCGGUAAUACAGAGGGUGCAAGCGUUAAUCGGAAUUACUGGGCGUAAAGCGCGCGUAGGUGGUUUGUUAAGUUGGAUGUGAAAGCCCCGGGCUCAACCUGGGAACUGCAUCCAAAACUGGCAAGCUAGAGUACGGUAGAGGGUGGUGGAAUUUCCUGUGUAGCGGUGAAAUGCGUAGAUAUAGGAAGGAACACCAGUGGCGAAGGCGACCACCUGGACUGAUACUGACACUGAGGUGCG
rnacentral:rRNA from 1 species